GGGCCAUGAGCUCAGUUGGUUAGAGCUACCGGCUCAUAACCGGUUGGUCCAAGGUUCGAGCCCUUGAUGGCCCACCA
rnacentral:tRNA from 1 species